UGUUCUGUGGCUUAGUUGGUUAAAGCGCCGAAUCAGCGAUACGGAGUCGUGGGUUCAAAUCCCACCAAAACAA
rnacentral:tRNA from 1 species